rnacentral:rRNA from 1 species
UACGUAGGGGGCAAGCGUUGUCCGGAAUCAUUGGGCGUAAAGCGCGUGUAGGCGGUCCGGUAAGUCCGCUGUGAAAGUCGGGGGCUCAACCCUCGAAUGCCGGUGGAUACUGUCGGGCUAGAGUACGGAAGAGGCGAGUGGAAUUCCUGGUGUAGCGGUGAAAUGCGCAGAUAUCAGGAGGAACACCGAUUGCGAAGGCAGCUCGCUGGGACGUUACUGACGCUGAGACGCGAAAGCGUGGGGAGCAAACAGG